GCGGAAGGCAGGCUGCUUUGGACUCUGGUAAAAGGAUAUGAGAUCUGUCUGAUGGAUGAAUCACCCCAUCAGCUGACAGUUGGUAUUAAUGCUGGUCAAAAAUGUUAAAUAAAGCUGUGGCCGUUGCCCUUAUCCAUUAUAUAGGUGUUGUGUGUUUAUUGGGCAACGGAUGGGUUCGUGGGUCUGCAGUCAAGUAUCAGAUUCUUG